CUAAAACUCAAAGGAAUUGACGGGGGCCCGCACAAGCGGUGGAGCAUGUGGUUUAAUUCGACGCAACGCGCAGAACCUUACCAGCCCUUGACAUGUCCAGGACCGGUCGCAGAGAUGUGACCUUCUCUUCGGAGCCUGGAGCACAGGUGCUGCAUGGCUGUCGUCAGCUCGUGUCGUGGGAUGUUGGGUUAAGUCCCGCAACGAGCGCAACCCCCGUCCUUAGUUGCUACCAUUUAGUUGAGCACUCUAAGGAGACUGCCGGUGAUAAGCCGCGAGGAAGGUGGGGAUGACGUCAAGUCCUCAUGGCCCUUACGGGCUGGGCUACACACGUGCUACAAUGGCGGUGACAAUGGGAUGCAAAGGGGCGACCCCUAGCAAAUCUCAAAAAA
rnacentral:rRNA from 1 species